AGGAGGCGGAGUCGGAGGCGUUGCUGGAGGCUUCAGUUUUCGAACCUGGGGUCUUAAAGAGACUCGCGUUUGGGAUUUUUAGGGGACGGCCGGCUCCCUGGCAAAGGGUCCGCGUGUUCUGGGCCGAAACACUCCUCCGGGGACGGGAAAGGAAAUGGGCUGCCAGUCUGUUGUAGCAGGAAGCUGGAGACCCAGCUGUGAAACAGGUGCAAAGGGGAGGCGGUAUGUCCUCCCAUCACAGGCACGUCUUCAAGCAGAUAAGUUUGGAAAAGAGUAGAUAGGACAUGUAAGCCUCUGGAAAUUGAUCAUAUUGAAAUUAUCCAUGACUUUAAACCACAGUUUGAAGACCACUGUUUUAUAAAACCCCUGAAAUCACUUUAACUCAAUACGAAGUCAUUUACUCUUUGUCUUCCAGCCACAGUAUUCUCCACAUUCUGCGUUUACACCUCCUCCUCUCUGGAUUUAAUGACAUUGCCAGCUAAGGGAACGCUCGCAGUGCCAAGUCCGUUUGCGCAACUUGACAAACAGUUUGACAGUUUAUUGGCUUUCAGAAGAAAACAAUGAAGAUAUAGAUAAAUACAACUAGGGCUUAGGAAUGGGGAGGAGGAGGAGGAGGAAGGGGAUGUCAGGACACAACAGGGUCAGCAGACCGGGGCAUCCUAUGUGGGGUAAAGUAAUAGGCUGGACGCACGCACCCUCCCACACAGCGUUGUUCGGGGCGGGAAGGGCAGAGCAGGGUGUUCCCGAGGGCCACCUCCCUUCCCCAUCACCUGCCGGGUGGGAGGCCGCGCGCCAGUGCAGAGGUGCGGGCAAAGGCAUCGCCUCCCAUGAGUCACUUUCUUUGUAGCUAUUGCGGCACCGUAUCAUUUAGAGAAUAUUCUUUAAUCAAGUAUCCGAAACUGCGCAGAGAUUGUGAAAGCGUCAGCGUGUCCCAGAGGCCGGGCGUAGACGUCCUGCGCAGCGUCAGCAGCGAGGCCACUCCUCCCGUGGCUGCUCCCAGGCGGUGAUGGAGGGAAGCAGGAACGCUAGGGCCGGGCCGUUCCUGGGCGAUGAGGAACUUCCGUGACGGCAGAUUUGGGCUGCAGGACUCCCCCCCCGGCUUUGCCAAGCCUCCCCUAGGCUGCGUGGCACCCAGCCUUUGCUUUCCUCUUCUUUUCGCAGGGUCUAACUUGCCUCGCGGCCUGAUGGCCCUCCCAGCCUUUGGUGGACCCUUGACUAUUUUACCUUACACAGGCAUUUCCCCCGAUAGAAUCCUUGCUCCUUUAAGCCAGCCUUGGCACUUGCUUCUCGGAGGACCCGGACUAAACUAGCUCACACCAAACUGAGAUUCAGGUGCUUCAAACUUCACCACUGCUGCCCCCUGGAGGCCAAGGCCGUUAUUACCAUUCCUAUCAAAUAUGCCGGCUUCCUAGACAUUCUCCAGUGCAAAGCCAGACGGACAAAGUUCCAGGUCCUUGAACCUUCAAUAACGAAAUGAUAAACUAGGCAAUUUGGACCAAGACUCCUGCUGAGAGUAAUCAGAAAAACUGGACAACACAUGAAAAAGUAUACUCAUCGGCAAAAGAAGGCUAACAGUGUGGUGAAGAAUUUCUGGAGCAGAUGUAAACUCAGAAACUUGAGCCUAACAUUUGGGACAGCCUUGCCUUUCAGGGCAAAGGGAAGUGGGGAGAAAAUCCUGAAAAAUUAGAAAAGUGAAGACCAGUGCUCACUUCAGCAGCACAUACUAAAAUUGGAACAAUACAGAGAAGAUUAGCACGGCCCCUGUGCAAGGAUGACACACAAAUUCGUGAAGCGUUCCAUAUUUUUGACCUAAAUGGGAAGGAAAUCCAAAAAAGAGGGGACAUAUGUAUACGUAUAGCUGAUUCACUUUGCUGUACAGCAGAAACUAACACAAUGUUGUAAAGCAACUAUACUCCAAUAAAAAAAUAAAAAUAAAAAAGUGAAGGCCAUGAGCCAGGGAGGUGGGCCUUGUCAGAUGGCCAUUCAUGUCUAACCAGUGCAAAAGUUGGUAUUGGGGGGGUGGUUGAGAGCUGGCUUUAGGAAUCCGGAGAUCUGAACUUUAGUCCUAGCUCUCUCUUGGUUUGUCGUUUUUAGACAAGGCAGUGAAC